UCGAGGAUCUUCGGCAAUGGGCGCAAGCCUGACCGAGCGACGCCGCGUGCGCGAUGAAGGCCUUCGGGUUGUAAAGCGCUGUCGAGGGGAAGAAAGCCGCAAGGUUGAUCGACCCCUGGAGGAAGGACGGGCUAAGUUCGUGCCAGCAGCCGCGGUAAGACGAACCGUCCUAACGUUAUUCGGAUUCACUGGGCUUAAAGGGCGCGUAGGCGGUUUACCAAGUCCGGGGUGAAAUCUUUCGGCUCAACCGGAAAAGUGCCUCGGAUACUGGUGAACUUGAGGGAGGUAGGGGCAUGUGGAACUUCCGGUGGAGCGGUGAAAUGCGUUGAUAUCGGAAGGAACGCCGGUGGCGAAAGCGACGUGCUGGCCCUCUUCUGACGCUGAGGCGCGAAAGCUAGGGGAGCAAACGGG
rnacentral:rRNA from 1 species